GUACUAAGAAGGGAAGCUACACUAAGUUGAUGUUAUUUGUCAUUAUAUUUGGUGCAAAAUGCUUGAACAGCAUUGUAAUGAGAUGACAAAUGAAAGAUCCUUUGAUUGUUCAACACAUCUUAGGUUCAUGUAAAUCCUAAGAUCAUACAAAUUGCAAGUUGUGACAUUAUUUUCUAUAGUACAAUAGUUGACUUGUUCAACACAUCUUAGGUUUACCGCGAUAAAUUGUAUCAGAACAUCAAGCAUUUACUUUUUUGGUGUAAA
rnacentral:misc_RNA from 1 species